rnacentral:snRNA from 1 species
AAAAAGGGUUGGUUGGCUAAAUAUGCCACGCUCGCCCUCGAUUGGUGAAUGCUGUAUGGCUAUCAAGACAUAUGGACAACAUAAUUUGUGAUGACUACAUGCUCAUCUACUGCAUCUUCUUCUACUAAUACAUUGAGAGCCA